UGGGGGGAUAAAUGGGCGUAACAGAGUAGUGCUGUCCAUGACAUGAUAAUCCUCACCAAGUUUGAUCCUCCUUAUUUUAAAAUCAUUGGCAAACAUCUCCAGCUCUUGGAUCUGUGGAGAGUCCAUAGCGGGGGUGUCCUCCAGCUCCCGGAUGCUCUUCUUCUGGAUGGUAACUUUCAUCUCGCCCACAGCAGGGCCCCCGGGGACCUCAUCAGUUAGCAGGAGGGCCGAGGGCAGCGAGGAGAAACCGUGACUUAACGCGCAGGAGCUGCCGCUUAGACCGGGAUCUGGAAACUUGUACAGGCACGGUGUCAGCGAACCUGGACAGAGAGGCACAAGAGAAAGGCAAAGUCGGGAAAUUUCGAUUCGGCGACAGAACGUAAUAUAGUCAUUGUGACAUGCUUGAAGCGGGGCAUUCAGUUUGGUCGCGUAAGUCCCAAGUGAAGUCCCAGAUUUCAAAUGCACUGGUGUGAAGGUUUGGACUCAUUGAGAUAUUCGUCACGUGCUGUGAUAUCAGAAAAAUAACUGUAGUCUGAUGACUCGAUUGGAAAUGGCCAUGUGGUCUGUUCGUCAUUGCUUAGCCGGACGUGCUAACCAGUCAGCCAUGGUGCCGCCACACAAGUGAAAAAGUGACGUGAGAAUUGGAAGUCGUCGUUCUGAGAAAUUCACUUCUGAUCUGAGAAAUGGAGCAAACCCGUAAGAUUGUUUUUUGUUUUUAGUCUGUCACAAAAAAGAUUUGAAGCGCGUCAAUUUGUCGAAAAUCAAACGGAACGCCACUGCCACCUACUGGAUGUGCACUUACACUUCAUUCUAACACACAAAGCAUGCCCCCCAAACUCUUUAAGAACUGAUCGACGGUAAUCUAAAACUGACAAAAUAUGGCGUUCCAUCAACCACAGAAUAUAAUAUUCUACAAGCGCACGGUUUGAGUUGACUAGAGUGUGGGCUUUGCCGAGUGUUGUUACUUGCUGGAGGAGAUGUGGAAAUGGGGAGGUUUAGGAGGCUAACAUAAAUAGCUGUUCUAAGUGUCAUCCUCUUCAUUUUUGUUGGCGAACAUUUACCGAAUAAACUUCUCACAUUAGUUUAUGAGUUUAAAAAAAACAGUUUUCAAUGUGAUUAUGUUAUACACAGACCAUAUUAAAAGCCAGUGAAUGGAUGUGCUCAUCAACUCCAUCGUGUUGGUGUUUGAGCGCCUUGUUUCAUCAAGGUCGCAGCAAUAAGUAAUUCCUUUACGCCUCGCUCGUGCGAUGAUGUUUUUCACCGCCAAGUAAAACUUUAAUUUGUUGGAGGCUUAGGAGUCAAAAUUUAUUACCUGAACUUAAAUCCACUUAAUGUGUUUGUGACCUCAUGCUUCUUUUCAAUAUCUGCUGGGUCCUUCACUCGCAACAUCCAUCACAUUAUUAUUGGUCAUGAAGUGUGAAUUAAAAA